rnacentral:lncRNA from 1 species
GAACAAAGGAGGGAAGGAGCUUUUAACUCUAACGCAGUUCCUGUUUCUGUGUCCUUCCCCUGUUGGCUGGGGUUGGAUGCACAAUCUAAGCUGAUCCUGACUGGCUGGGACUUAAACCUUCUCAAAUAAGGAUGGACACAGUAACGACAGAGACAGGAGGCAGCCAACAGUCUCCCAGUGAAACCCCUCCUUCAAGCCUAAAACAGUCUGAAGGCUGAAAAACCAGAGUGCUAGUCUGGAUGAAGUCUGCCCUUUCCCAACCGAUUCUUUCUGAAUAAUGGCCACCUGCGCACUGGGAGGACUGGGUGGAGCCUUGGGAAGUUCACGCUAUUUGCAGUGGCGAGGAUCCUGGCAUCUCCUGUUCCUGUGUGGUGACCUGGGAUUCAAUCUUUGAGGAGGAAAACCUGCUAGCCGGCCUCUCUUUCGGUUUGCUGGAGUUCCUGUUUCCCUUUUUUUUUUCCUUUUCACCCGAUAAACCCUGCCCUACUAACCUUACA